rnacentral:SRP_RNA from 14 species
GCUGCCUCGUCUUCGGAGGUCGGCGGUUGGUGCGCCCAAGCGCUGCGGCCGCUGACAGCUUCUGAGCAGGUGCACUGCCCAAGGCUGGCAAC